rnacentral:rRNA from 1 species
GUAGGUGGCAAGCGUUGUCCGGAAUUAUUGGGCGUAAAGCGCGCGCAGGUGGUUCUUUAAGUCUGAUGUGAAAGCCCCCGGCUCAACCGGGGAGGGUCAUUGGAAACUGGGGAACUUGAGUGCAGGAGAGGAAAGUGGAAUUCCACGUGUAGCGGUGAAAUGCGUAGAUAUGUGGAGGAACACCAGUGGCGAAGGCGACUCUCUGGCCUGUAACUGACACUGAGGCGCGAAAGCGUGGGGAGCAAACAGGGAUUAGAUACCCUGGUAGUCCACGCCGUAAACGAUGAGUGCUAAGUGUUGGGGGGGGUUUCCGCCCCAUCAGUGCUGCAGCUAACGCAUUAAGCACUCCGCCUGGGAGUACGGUCGCAAGACUG